CUACGGAAGGUCCGGGCGUUAUCCGGAUUUAUUGGGCUUAAAGGGAGCGCAGGCGGAGAUGCAAGCGUGACGUCAAAUUUCGGGGCUCAACCCCGUCUCGCGUCGCGAACUGCGUCCCUUGGUUGCGGGAAGGGGAGGCGGAACUCGUGGUGUAGCGGUGAAAUGCAUAGAUAUCACGAAGAACUCCGAUCGCGAAGGCAGCCUUCCGGCCCGUCAACGACGCUCAUGCUCGAAGGUGCGGGUAUCAAACAGGAUUAGAUACCCUGGUAGUCCGCACAGUAAACGAUGGACACCCGCGGUUUGGCCUAUAUGGCUGAGCCGCCAAGCGAAAGCGUUAAGUGUCCCACCUGGGGAGUACGCCGGCAACGGUGAAACUCAAAGGAAUUGACGGGG
rnacentral:rRNA from 1 species